UAAGUUACUAAGGGCACACAGGGGAUGCCUUGGAUUUGAGAGGCGAUGAAAGACGUGAUAAGCUGCGAUAAGCUGCGGGGAGAAGCAAAUAUUUUGUGAUCCGCAGAUUUCUGAAUGGGGAAACCCGGCUGGUUGAAGACCAGUCACCGAAAGGAGCAAACCUGGAGAACUGAAACAUCUAAGUACCCAGAGGAAGAGAAAACAAUAGUGAUUUCCGGAGUAGCGGCGAGCGAAAUGGAAAUAGCCCAAACCGAAGUUGUUUCGGCAGCUUCGGGGUUGUAGGACUACAAUGUGGACUUAUAGAUUAUAGCGGAAUUAAGUUGGAAAGCUUAACUGUAGAGGGUGAUAGUCCCGUACGCGAAAUAGUCUAUAUACCUAGUAGUAUCCUGAGUAGGGCGGGACAUGUGAAAUCCUGUCUGAAUCUACCGGAACCAUCCGGUAAGGCUAAAUACUCCUCAAAUACCGAUAGCGAACGAGUACUGUGAAGGAAAGGUGAAAAGAACCGUGAAUAACGGAGUGAAA
rnacentral:rRNA from 1 species